CGAGACUCUCCGCUCCCAAUCCUCCGGAGAGCUCUCCGGAGACUUUAGCAACGCAGCUUAAAUCCGCCUUGCCUUGCAUAUAUCAGUGUUACCACCGAACACGCCACAGGGACGGAUUCUUAAAAAAUUCUUAUCGCCUGAAUUGAUCAUGAAUGCACACAAUUUUGAUGAUCCAAACAUUUUUGAGCUAUCCGCAAACUUACUGUAUUGAUACGGAUGGCUUUUAUUGCGAAAAGGAAGUUGGAAAAACAAUUCGCUGAACUGCAGAGUCAGUCUUACAGGCUAAAGGUCAAUUUUAACUCCACAACUUGAACAUCCUGCCAAACGUGGUGUCGUUCAGUCGUUCUUCUACCUAGUACCUCUAGAUGCUCUAGCCGAGGUGCUCCAUCCGUGAAUACAUCGUUUCCACAGUCUUCACACUUUUCACUUCACAAAGUGCAUAUUAACACAGUCAAACUGGAGUGGUCUUAGUCAACAAUCUCUGAUUCCACGGACUUUUCGGACUAUCGCAAAGCUUUAACCCACGAGUGAGGACCUGCAAACUAAAAGAUGCAACAAGAAGAGAAAAAUGUCUCUAGUGCUGAGGCGGGCGAAUACGCCAAGAUGUUUCCAGCAAUGCCAACCACCAAAGCCAAGAGUCAUCAAAACUCUGGAUCCAUCCAAGGCAACGGGCACAUGAGAGUUGGUCCUAGAGAAAUAUCCAAGACUCUGGUUGUACCAUCUUCAGAUCGAAGCUGGAUCAAAGUGAUAAGUUUGGUGAAGGUGAGAGAAAGCCAAAUGACAUUGCCAAAGACACCAAGACGAAAUUGAAAUGUCUAUUUCCAGAGACCAUUCCUGACUUUCGUCAUCUCUGGGACUCCUGCUAGUGUCAAUGAUGCUAUCCGCAAGAUCUUGAAACAAUACAAACGCAGGUAGGAUGUAGUGCUGAAUUCUUUAAAAAUGUAGUGUCAAUAACUCGUGAAGCCUGACGUAUGUAAAUAGCGGACGCCGUGUUUUUAGUCU
rnacentral:lncRNA from 1 species